rnacentral:lncRNA from 1 species
CCUGCCCUAAGGGAAUAUUUUUACACAUUGCUGAACUCAGCACCAAGAUGAUGUGACUCCUCUCCUGCCUGAUCCUGACCAUAUGGGAAGUUGUGACAUAUCCAUAGGCCCAGCACCUAGGUAAGGUGAUUUUCCUCUUCUGCCUGGGCCCUACCCACAGAGGGUAUUGUAACAUUUUUCACCUGGCCCAGCACCAAAGGGAUGUGACUCUUCUACCUGAACCUUUCCCACAGGGGAUAUUGCUAUGUAUUCCUGUCUCAGCACUCAGGUGAUGUGACUCUUCUGCCUGGUCACUGCUCACAGGUGAGAUUGUGACCUAUGUUUGGAUCCAGCUCACAGGCAUGAUGAUGAAUCUUACACCUGAACCUAGCCAAGAGGAAAGAUAUUGACACUUGUUCCUCCAAAUGGAGAAUCAAGCAGAACAGUGACUCUCAAGCCAAGAUUCAGCACAACUGUAAGAAUAUGGCUACCUACUGGGAUACUGUUCCCAGGUGGAGUUGAGGCUGUCAUUCAUGGAUCUUGUCCACCAUUGAGAUUCCAUCUUACAUACUUGGACUCAACUCACAAAAGUUGUUGACCCUCAUAUCUGAAGUCUGGAAAUGUGCAGGAUUGUGAAUCUCAUUCCUAGACCUUUCUGCAGGUGUGAUAAUGAAAUCUAUCUUUGCAAAACAUCUGAUUGAUUUUACUAUCUUGUGGAAACCUAGCUAUCAAUUGGGAGUUAAGAUUCUGACAUAUACCUAGGCCAAGUCCCUGGGUGAUGUGACCCUCUUGCCUAGGCUUUUCCCACAGGGGACUUUGUGAGAUGUCUCUGGGCCCAUCACCUAAGUGAUGUGACUCUACUUUCCUGCCUAUGUCCUGCCUCCAUUGAGGAUUUUGACAUAUCCCUGAGCCUACCACUUUGGGAUAUGACUCUCUUCUAUUGACCGGGCCUUGUUAAGAGAGAAAAUUGUGACAUAUUACUGAUCCCAACACCUAGAUAGUGUGACUCUUUGCUGCUGCCUGUGCCCUGACUACAUAAAAAAUUUUGAAAUACUACUGUGCCAAGCACCCAGAUAAUGUGACUCUCCUGCCCGUGCCCUGCCUACACUGGACAUUCUGACAUAUC